rnacentral:rRNA from 1 species
CUACGUGCCAGCAGCCGCGGUAAUACGUAGGGGGCAAGCGUUAUCCGGAUUUACUGGGUGUAAGGGGAGCGUAGACGGCGAAGCAAGUCUGGUGUGAAAACCCGGGGCUCAACCCCGGGCCUGCAUUGGAAACUGUUUUGCUUGAGUGCCGGAGAGGUAAGCGGAAUUCCUAGUGUAGCGGUGAAAUGCGUAGAUAUUAGGAGGAAUACCAGUGGCGAAGGCGGCUUACUGGACGGUAACUGACGUUGAGGCUCGAAAGCGUGGGGAGCA